rnacentral:rRNA from 1 species
GGUGAGAGCCCCGUACAGUUGGACACCAAGCCUUUGUAAAGCUCCUUCGACGAGUCGAGUAGUUUGGGAAUGCUGCUCAAAAUGGGAGGUAAAUGCCUUCUAAAGCUAAAUACCGGCCAGAGACCGAUAGCGCACAAGUAGAGUGAUCGAAAGAUGAAAAGCACUUUGAAAAGAGGGUUAAACAGUACGUGAAAUUGUUGAAAGGGAAGCGCUCGUGACCAGACUUGCGCCCGGCGGAUCAUCCGGCCUUCUGGCCGGUGCACUCCGCCGGGCUCAGGCCAGCAUCGGUUUUCCUGGGGGGACAAAAGUGGCGGGAACGUAGCUCCUCCGGGAGUGUUAUAGCCCGCCGCAGCAUACCCCCGGGGGGACCGAGGACCGCGCUUCGGCAAGGAUGCUGGCGUAAUGGUCACCAGCGACCCGUCUUGAAACACGGACCAAGGAGUCAAGCAUUAGGGCGAGUGUUUGGGUGUCAAACCCGCACGCGAAAUGAAAGUGAACGCAGGUGAGAGCUUCGGCGCAUCAUCGACCGAUCCUGAUGUUUUCGGAUGGAUUUGAGUAAGAGCCUUGCCGCUUGGACCCGAAAGAUGGUGAACUAUGCUUGGAUAGGGUGAAGCCAGAGGAAACUCUGGUGGAGGCUCGCAGCGGUUCUG